UACGUAGGUGGCAAGCGUUGUCCGGAUUUAUUGGGCGUAAAGAGCUCGUAGGCGGUUCGAUAAGUCGGGUGUGAAACCUCCAGGCUCAACCUGGAGACGCCACCCGAUACUGUCGUGACUAGAGUCCAGUAGGGGAGCGUGGAAUUCCUGGUGUAGCGGUGAAAUGCGCAGAUAUCAGGAGGAACACCAGCGGCGAAGGCGGCGCUCUGGGCUGGCACUGACGCUGAGGAGCGAAAGCGUGGGUAGCGAACAGG
rnacentral:rRNA from 1 species